GACAACUUUUCGACGGUUGCCUUCCUCCUUAUUUGUGGAGCUCCUUGGCAUGUGUUUUACCCCCUGUGUUAUUUAUAUGGGCCUCAAGGGGCUCUCUUAACGUGUAGGCUUCUGUUUACCUUGUUUUUUUGUUUGUGGGGUUAUAUUUCUUGUGUGUCGUAUGUAAUAGGCCAGUGUACUUGUGAUCAUCGCGUUUUUGGGUGUGUUUGUAUCGAUUUUGUGUUUUCGAGUUGGUUCGGAGCCUGAGCCUACAAAAACCAAAAAUCUAGACCUGGAACCUGAGAUCGCGGAAGACAAGCCAGAAGAAUACCAUCAGUAAGGCUCCAGAUCCAGCUGAGGAGGAACCUGAGGUCGCGGUUCUCGCCGGCAUCUACAGGUCCUUGAGCUUGCUCAAAGCCGGCGUCAAUUAUUAUCGAAAAUCCGAGGCGAAGAUUGGCGCCGCUAUUAAUAUUGCAGUUUCGGCUCCAUUGGCGCUUGUCCAGGUCUGGAUUUGGAAGAGAUUCCCCACUCUAAGCCCGACGCUGACGCCGGUUGGGCUGAACAAGCACAAUAAGAAAAUAUCAAUUUUGUAACAAGUGAAGUCGGGACUGUGCAGAUGGGGUAGUUUGAAGAAAGUGAAAAAACUGAGAAUUUAUUGUCCAUCAUAGAUGCAGCUGGAGCAGAGUUUGUGUGGCGUCCGUAUAAGGGAAAUGGCUUCCCUGAGAAGCUCUACAAGGAUUUUGGAUAUUGGGCUGUUGUUGAUUCAGAAGUAGACGAAGAUUUAGAAGGCUUGAUCCGCUGCUUGAGGGCCAGCGAGCUCGUCGGACUCGGCUCUGACCCAACGAUCUGUCUGUAUCUCUGUUUCUUAUCCUUAAGUACAGGCAUAAUUUUUUCAUGAAGAUGGAGGACGAGAGCAUCCAAGACAGCACCAGUCCUGUCUUGUUUGUGCACACAAAGCCUAAGGAUAGCACGCAAAUAAUAAAGUUAUG